rnacentral:misc_RNA from 1 species
GAUGAAGAACGUAGCGAAAUGCGAUACGUAAUGUGAAUUGCAGAUUUCAGUGAAUCAUCGAAUCUUUGAACGCACAUUGCGCCCGCUAGUAUUCUGGCGGGCAUGCCUGUUCGAGCGUCAUUUCAACCAUCAAGCCCUAGGCUUGCGUUGGAGCCCUGCGGCUGCCGCAGGCUCCCAAAUCCAGUGGCGGGCUCGUCGUCGUACCGAGUGCAGUAAACAUCCUCGCUCAGGGAACGUGACGGGUACUUGCCGUGAAACCCCCCACAUAUCAAGGUUGACCUCGGAUCAGGUAGGAAUACCCGCUGAACUUAAGCAUAUCAAUAAGCGGAGGA